AUUGAACGCUGGCGGCAUGCCUUACACAUGCAAGUCGAACGGUAACGCGGGGCAACCUGGCGACGAGUGGCGAACGGGUGAGUAAUGCAUCGGAACGUGCCCAGUAGUGGGGGAUAACUGCUCGAAAGAGCAGCUAAUACCGCAUACGACCGGAGAGUGAAAGCGGGGGAUCGCAAGACCUCGCGCUAUUGGAGCGGCAGAUGUCAGAUUAGGUAGUUGGGGGGGUAAAGGCCUACCAAGCCAACGAUCUGUAGCUGGUCUGAGAGGACGACCAGCCACACUGGGACUGAGACACGGCCCAGACUCCUACGGGAGGCAGCAGUGGGGAAUUUUGGACAAUGGACGCAAGUCUGAUCCAGCCAUGCCGCGUGCGGGAAGAAGGCCUUCGGGUUGUAAACCGCUUUUGUCAGGGAAGAAACGCUCUGGGUUAAUACCUCGGGGUAAUGACGGUACCUGAAGAAUAAGCACCGGCUAACUACGUGCCAGCAGCCGCCGUAACAC
rnacentral:rRNA from 1 species